CGUUCCUGUGGUUGGAAUAAACUCCUGUACACAGCCAUACACUGCAAGCAAGCUCAUGGAAGCAAACAGACAGGCUUUCACUUUUGGAUCCUACCAUCUGAACAAUCCAACAGCUUCACGAACUGAAAAACAGUGGGUCUUACAGCUCCCUCCCUAGAAGCUGCAUCCACCGUGGCUACCAGGGAUGAUGGGGAAUGAAAAGGGCCGUGCAGCCACACCACCAUCCUGCGUCAAGAGUCCCAGUCAUCAGACCCAUGGAACGACUGACUGGAUUUCAUCUCUCUUCUUGAUGAAACACAGGAAAUCUAAGAAACCAACAGUAAGUACAGAUAAAACUGUUGUUUCUACAGAACCUAUUUUCCCCUUUA
rnacentral:lncRNA from 1 species